GUGGUUAACACUGUUCAUGGACCUUUCAA
rnacentral:piRNA from 1 species